GGCCUUAUCGUCUAGUGGCUAGGACAUGUCCCUCUCACGGAUAAAACAGGGGUUCGAUUCCCCUUAAGGCUACCA
rnacentral:tRNA from 1 species